AGAGUUUGAUCCUGGCUCAGGACGAACGCUGGCGGCGUGCUUAACACAUGCAAGUCGAGCGGUAAGGCCUUUCGGGGUACACGAGCGGCGAACGGGUGAGUAACACGUGGGUGAUCUGCCCUGCACUCUGGGAUAAGCUUGGGAAACUGGGUCUAAUACCGGAUAUGACCGCAUGCCGCAUGGUGUGUGGUGGAAAGAUUUAUCGGUGCAGGAUGGGCCCGCGGCCUAUCAGCUUGUUGGUGGGGUAAUGGCCUACCAAGGCGACGACGGGUAGCCGACCUGAGAGGGUGACCGGCCACACUGGGACUGAGACACGGCCCAGACUCCUACGGGAGGCAGCAGUGGGGAAUAUUGCACAAUGGGCGGAAGCCUGAUGCAGCGACGCCGCGUGAGGGAUGAAGGCCUUCGGGUUGUAAACCUCUUUCAGCAGGGACGAAGCGUGAGUGACGGUACCUGCAGAAGAAGCACCGGCUAACUACGUGCCAGCAGCCGCGGUAAUACGUAGGGUGCGAGCGUUGUCCGGAAUUACUGGGCGUAAAGAGUUCGUAGGCGGUUUGUCGCGUCGUUUGUGAAAACCCGGGGCUCAACUUCGGGCUUGCAGGCGAUACGGGCAGACUUGAGUGUUUCAGGGGAGACUGGAAUUCCUGGUGUAGCGGUGAAAUGCGCAGAUAUCAGGAGGAACACCGGUGGCGAAGGCGGGUCUCUGGGAAACAACUGACGCUGAGGACNAAAGCGUGGGUAGCAAACAGGAUAGAUACCCUGGUAGUCCACGCCGUAACGGGGGCGCUAGGUGUGGGUCCUUCCCGGGAUCUGUGCCGUAGCUACGCAU
rnacentral:rRNA from 1 species